AUGUAUAAGUUUAAUCGUUUAUCGAGAAACCGCGAACGGCUCAUUACAAUGGCCAUUAUUUACUUGAUCUUGAUUGUCUAAAUGGAUAACUGUGGAAAAGCUAGAGCUAAUACAUGCACUAAAGCACUAAACCACGCGGCUUCGGCUGCUUCUUGUUGACUCAGAAUAACUUAGCCGACCGCAUGGCCUUGUGCCGGCGGCGUGUCUUUCAAGCGUCCACUUUAUCAACUUGACGGGAGCAUAAUCGACUCCCGUGGUGGUGACGGAUAACGGAGGAUCAGGGUUCGACUCCGGAGAAGGGGCCUGAGAAAUGGCCACUACGUCUAAGGAUGGCAGCAGGCGCGCAAAUUACCCACUCUCGGCUCGAGGAGGUAGUGACGAGAAAUAACGAGACUGUUCUCUUUGAGGCCGGUCAUCGGAAUGGGUACAAUUUAAACCCUUUAACGAGUAUCAAGCAGAGGGCAAGUCUGGUGCCAGCAGCCGCGGUAAUUCCAGCUCUGCAAAUACAUAGAAUUAUUGCUGCGGUUAGAAAGCUCAUAGUUGGAUUCGUAUCGAUACCUUGGAACCCUUCGGGUGUCUCUAGGUGUUAUCGAUUUAUCGUAAUGUUCGGUUUUGAGUCCUUAACAGGAUUCUUAACAGGCAUUGCAAGUUUACUUUGAACAAAUCAGAGUGCUUCAAACAGGCGUUUUCGCUUGAAUGAUCGUGCAUGGAAUAAUAGAAAAUGAUUUCGGUUCAGUUUUAUUGGUUUUACGGACUGAGAUAAUGGUUAACAGAGACAAACGGGGGCAUUUGUAUGGUCCCGUGAGAGGUGAAAUUCUUGGACCGUGGCCAGACAAACUACAGCGAAAGCAUUUGCCAAGAAUGUUUUUAUUAAUCAAGAACGAAAGUCAGAGGUUCGAAGGCGAUCAGAUACCGCCCUAGUUCUGACCGUAAACGAUGCCAACUAGCGAUCCGCCGAUGGAAAUUAUAUUGCCUUGGUGGGGAGCUUCCCGGAAACGAAAGUCUUCCGGUUCCGGGGGAAGUAUGGUUGCAAAGCUGAAACUUAAAGGAAUUGACGGAAGGGCGCCACCAGGAGUGAAGCCUGCGGCUUAAUUUGACUCAACACGGGGAAACUCACCCGGCCCGGACACUGUGAGGAUUGACAGAUUGAUAGCUUUUUCAUGAUUCAGUGGAUGGUGGUGCAUGGCCGUUCUUAGUUCGUGGAGUGAUUUGUCUGGUUUAUUCCGAUAACGAGCGAGACUCUAACCUACUAAAUAGUUGGUACAUACUCUUAGUGUAUACAGCUUCUUAGAGGGAUUUGCGGCGUUCAGCCGAAAGAAAUUGAGCAAUAACAGGUCUGUGAUGCCCUUAGAUGUCCGGGGCUGCACGCGCGCUACACUGGCAAAAUCAACGUGCUUGUCCUACCCUGAAAGGGGCGGGUAAACCAUUGAAAAUUUGCCGUGAUUGGUAUCGGAAAUUGCAAUUAUUUUCCGUGAACGAGGAAUUCCAAGUAAGUGCGAGUCAUCAGCUCGCGUUGAUUACGUCCCUGCCCUUUGUACACACCGCCCGUCGCUGCCCGGGACUGAGCCAUUUCGAGAAAUUUGGGGACCGUUGAUUUAAUUUUUCUAAAUUACUUUGAUGGAAACCAAUUUAAUCGCAGUGGCUUGAACCGGGC
rnacentral:rRNA from 1 species